rnacentral:rRNA from 1 species
UGGGGGAUAUUGCACAAUGGGCGAAAGCCUGAUGCAGCGACGCCGCGUGGGGGAUGAAGGCCUUCGGGUUGUAAACUUCUUUUGCUCUGAACAAGGCAUGCUUUUGGGGUGUGUUGAGUGUAGGGGUUGAUUAGCGCCGGCUAAGUACGUGCCAGCAGCCGCGGUAAUACGUAGGGCGCGAGCGUUGUCCGGAAUUAUUGGGCGUAAAGGGCUUGUAGGUGGCUGGUUGCGUCUGUCGUGAAAGCUCAUGGCUUAACUGUGGGUUUGCGGUGGGUACGGGCUGGCUUGAGUGCAGUAGGGGAGGCUGGAAUUCCUGGUGUAGCGGUGGAAUGCGCAGAUAUCAGGAGGAAUACCGGUGGCGAAGGCGGGUCUCUGGGCUGUUACUGACGCUGAGGAGCGAAAGCGUGGGGAGCGAACAGG